rnacentral:rRNA from 1 species
AUAUCAAUAAGCGGAGGAAAGAACAACAGGAGUGCCUCAGUAACGGCGAGUGAAGCGGCAAGAGCUCAAAUUUGAAAUCUGGCUUCGGCCCGAGUUGUAAUUUGUAGAGGAACGUUCGGCAAUGCCGCCGGUCCAAGUCUUCUGGAACGGAGCGUCAUGGAGGGUGAGAACCCCGUACCCGGCUGGUAGGCAGCGCCGUGUGAACGUCCUUCAAAGAGUCGAGUUGUUUGGGAAUGCAGCUCAAAAAUUGGUGGUAAAUUCCAUCUAAAGCUAAAUAUUGGCCAGAGACCGAUAGCGCACAAGUA